rnacentral:lncRNA from 1 species
CCUUUUCACCACCUCCAGGACCGGCCCGCAAUUGACGUGGUAGAAGUUCCCAUGUGCUGGAAUAAUUUUUAUGUAACGAUUCGCUGUAAUAAAGGAAUCGUGGCUGUCGAUGUCAUGCUUUGUUCGAGCUAUAUUGUGGUACAGUUUUUCGUUUCAUUAUGGACUAUAACCGUUUUCACCACCUCCAGGACCGGCCCGGAAUUGACGUGUAUGACUAUAACCCUUUUCACCACCUCCAGGACCGGCCCGGAAUUGACGUGUAUGGACUAUAACCCUUUUCACCACCUCCAGGACCGGCCCGGAAUUGACGUGUAUGGACUAUAACCGUUUUCACCACCUCCAGGACCGGCCCGGAAUUGACGUGUAUGACUAUAACCCUUUUCACCACCUCCAGGACCGGCCCGCAAUUGACGUGUAUGGACUAUAACCCUUUUCACCACCUCCAGGACCGGCCCGGAAUUGACGUGCAUGGACUAUAACCGUUUUCGCCACCUCCUGGACCGGCUCGGUAGAGACGUGUAGAAGUGUCAAAGCAUUUGAAUAAUUGUUCUAUUGUGUUUGGCUGUAAUAAAGGAAUUGUGGCUCACGAUAUCAUACAUUCAUGACACUCGUAAAAAUUGAAAGGCCCAAAAUU